GUGGCAGACGGGUGAGUAAUGUAUAGGAAUCUACCUAGUAGUACGGAAUAAUUGUUGGAAACGACAACUAAUACCGUAUACGCCCUACGGGGGAAAAAUUUAUUGCUAUUAGAUGAGCCUAUAUUAGAUUAGCUAGUUGGUGGGGUAAUAGCCUACCAAGGUAAUGAUCUAUAGCUGAUCUGAGAGGAUGAUCAGCCACACUGGAACUGAGAUACGGUCCAGACUCCUACGGGAGGCAGCAGUGGGGAAUAUUGGACAAUGGGCGAAAGCCUGAUCCAGCCAUGCCGCAUGAGUGAAGAAGGCCUUUGGGUUGUAAAGCUCUUUUAGUGAGGAAGAUAAUGACGGUACUCACAGAAGAAGUCCUGGCUAACUCCGUGCCAGCAGCCGCGGUAAUACGGAGAGGGCUAGCGUUAUUCGGAAUUAUUGGGCGUAAAGGGCGCGUAGGCUGGUUAAUAAGUUAAAAGUGAAAUCCCGAGGCUUAACCUUGGAAUUGCUUUUAAAACUAUUAAUCUAGAGAUUGAAAGAGGAUAGGGGAAUUCCUGAUGUAGAGGUAAAAUUCGUAAAUAUUAGGAGGAACACCAGUGGCGAAGGCGUCUAUCUGGUUCAAAUCUGACGCUGAAGCGCGAAGGCGUGGGGAGCAAACAGGAUUAGAUACCCUGGUAGUCCACGCUGUAAACGAUGAAUGUUAAAUAUGGGGAGUUUACUUUCUGUAUUACAGCUAACGCGUUAAACAUUCCGCCUGGGGACUACGGUCGCAAGAUUAAAACUCAAAGGAAUUGACGGGGACCCGCACAAGCCGGUGGAGCAUGUGGUUUAAUUCGAUGCAACGCGAAAAACCUUUACCACUUCUAGACAUGGAAAAUCAUUACCUAUUUCGG
rnacentral:rRNA from 1 species